rnacentral:tRNA from 1 species
GUUAUAGUGGCAAGUCUGGCCCCGCAAAAGUUUUAAGCUCUUCGAACAGAGGUUCGAAUCCUCUCUGUAACU